rnacentral:lncRNA from 1 species
CUACUACUAUUACUUUUACUAAUGUUACUAUUGCUACUACUAUUACAGUUGCUACUACUACUGUAGCUGCUACAGGUAGUAUUGCUACUACUGCUACUAUUGCUAUUACUACUACUACUGCUAGUAGUACAGCUACUAAUGCUACUACUAAUACUACUACUGCUACUCUUGUUACUACUGCUAAUGCUACUAGUGCUACU